AAUUUCAAGUUUCUUGAUUUCUGUACUUUUCUCAACAUGAACUGAUAACAGAUGCUUUAUAAACUGGCUCAGGUCCCAGAACCAUGCUUAGGAUUACAUUGCCCUGGAGCACAUGAGGAGGCCAGGGCCCUCUAAUGCAGUUCAGCAAGUGGAGAGGAUGGGCAUGGGAAAUAAAAGCAGGUCAUUCACUCUUUUUUCUCAUCACCCUCUAACUUCCUUUUGAUUCCCUCACUCUUUCUGUGUUCUUUUUCCCUUCCCUAAUUCUUCACCUCCCCCUCCUCUGCUGCCUCCUUGCUCUCCUCGCAGGUCAAGUUUACCCAUGGGGGAACUGGUUCCAGCCAAACCGCACCAACCUGUGGCAGGGAAAGUUCCCCAAGGGAGACAAAGCUGAGGAUGGCUUCCAUGGAGUCUCCCCAGUGAAUGCUUUCCCCGCCCAGAACAACUACGGUAAGAGCUGUCUUGGGCUUGCGGCUGUGCCCAUGAACUGGCUGUUGGGACCAUCGUGUCUGAGAGAGGAGGCAGAGGGAAG
rnacentral:sRNA from 1 species